rnacentral:lncRNA from 1 species
AUCUUCUCAUGUUACUUAUUGUCAUACAUCAAUCAAAAUAUAAAAGGCAAAUAUAUAUACAGUAUUAUCUAUCAUAUAUUUAUCUAUACCUUGUUUCAUAAACAACCUAAUUUUAUUUUAUUUUUUGCAGGGAAAAACGUUUCAUUUAAUCAACAUGGGCCUUACAAUCGUUUGAAAUGAUAAUACUAAUCUCUUGUGAGGACUAGCCGUCACAACCAAGACUCGAACCAAGUAUGCUGAUUGGACUUCAAAAGGGGUGAAAAACUGUCGGACGAUGGCGGGCAUCAGUGGCCUAGCUAGCUCGGUGAGCCAAGGUGGUCCAAUAAACAAAAUUUCAUGUAAUUUUAUGUUUUGUAAAAAAUAUAUAUCUUUUUUUACCCUAUAUAUUGCCUAUGGCGAAAUUUCAGGAUGGUCCAUGAACCACCAUGUCCACUCCCUAGCUACGCCACUGGCGGGCAUAGAUAAUAUAAGUAUCCCCGUUGAUCUCCCUCACCUUCUACCUCUUGGUUUGCACUCCAACCCCUCGAUGUCACUAUCAAGCAUUCUUAUGAAGCUUUGCCGUCUCCGCUAUGUUGCGGCUUGAACGCUUCAACCUGGAUGCUCAAGGUAGUUACAACACUAGAGCCCUCUAGCAGUUGCAUUUUUUAUCAUGACUUAGUCAACAGUUUUGGAAUAACCUUGAAAUUACUGUUCCACCAUAAGCACAAGUACAAUAUGACAAAAUUUACACUAACAUUUCAGAAAUUGAAGCUAUUGAAUAUAUAUUUGUGCGUGUAUAUUGUGUUAUCGGGCCCUCCUCCUAGUCCCUUGUAUAGUUGAGGUAGAGACCCAUCUUAUACCUAUAUAUACGUGCCUAAUGCAUCCAAUUAAUAUUGAGUGUUGCACAGCCUAAACCUGAUCUUCUACAGAAGCGUCCCUACCUACCUUGUUUACACCAAGUUGCUUUGCAGUCUGCACGAUGCUGUGAGCUACAGUGUUGAGGUUCCUAUGAAAGGAAGCCCUUGUUCAAGAUGACAAAGAGUUUAACAAGUAAUGUGUUCCUUCUGGCUCACUUAUAUGCAAAUAUUUAAGGUGCAACGGCAACCAGUGAUUUCACUAGGUUGCCAUGGAGUCCUAACAGCCGUGCAGGAAGAUUGUGUGUUGGUUUUGCCCAUGUUCCCAUUAUAUUUGGCGUUGCAAGUGAAGUCGCGAUGUAGUCAAUGAACAAUGGCCAGUACAUGCUCCAAUCUCUUGAGCGUUAGCACACUUAGCUAUGACUGUGGCUCACUAGUAUCCAACAAGUCCUACAGAUAGGCAAGCCAGCCAGGAAGCUAUUGAUUCCAGACGCCUCCUCUUGGGCGUGUAUUGGCUUGCUCCAUAGCAUGAAGAUAACAUACUACUAUUUAUUUCGGAUGCCACUGGCUAGAUGACAACUCACGCAUCGAGAUUGUGAUGAUGAGAUGUACUACAUUAUUUAUGUUAGUCACCAAUCAUUCAUGGGUUACCGCUAAGGUAGGCUGGUAUACGACCUUACACAGGUUCAUCUUGUUAAUUAUUGUGGAUGACUGCACAUGGAUCAUGUAUGUACGACUUGGAAAUUGUAUGUAGCAUGGAAAACAAUUGAUGCAAAGUGACUUGGUAAGCUCAAAGUAUCCAUUGCAGUUACAUGUUACUGCAGCCCCACCCAAAAUGAAGUGCAGGUUAAUUAUUUCACUAGCAUAAUGCCCGUGCGUUGCUACAGAACCAUAAGAGAUCAUUGAAAGAUGAUGAUAUCGUAUGA